rnacentral:rRNA from 1 species
UAAGGAAUAUUGGUCAAUGGAGGGAACUCUGAACCAGCCAUGCCGCGUGCAGGAAGACGGCCCUCUGGGUUGUAAACUGCUUUUAUUCGGGAAUAAACCUAUUUACGUGUAAAUAGCUGAAUGUACCGAAGGAAUAAGGAUCGGCUAACUCCGUGCCAGCAGCCGCGGUAAUACGGAGGAUCCAAGCGUUAUCCGGAUUUAUUGGGUUUAAAGGGUGCGUAGGCGGCUUAUUAAGUCAGGGGUGAAAGACGGUGGCUCAACCAUCGCAGUGCCCUUGAUACUGAUGAGCUUGAAUACACUAGAGGUAGGCGGAAUGUGACAAGUAGCGGUGAAAUGCAUAGAUAUGUCACAGAACACCGAUUGCGAAGGCAGCUUACUAUGGUGUGAUUGACGCUGAGGCACGAAAGCGUGGGGAUCAAACAGG